rnacentral:rRNA from 1 species
AGAGUUUGAUCMUGGCUCAGAUUGAACGCUGGCGGCAGGCUUAACACAUGCAAGUCGAGCGGAGUGAUGGUGCUUGCACUAUCACUUAGCGGCGGACGGGUGAGUAAUGCUUAGGAAUCUGCCUAUUAGUGGGGGACAACAUUUCGAAAGGAAUGCUAAUACCGCAUACGUCCUACGGGAGAAAGCAGGGGAUCUUCGGACCUUGCGCUAAUAGAUGAGCCUAAGUCGGAUUAGCUAGUUGGUGGGGUAAAGGCCUACCAAGGCGACGAUCUGUAGCGGGUCUGAGAGGAUGAUCCGCCACACUGGGACUGAGACACGGCCCAGACUCCUACGGGAGGCAGCAGUGGGGAAUAUUGGACAAUGGGCGCAAGCCUGAUCCAGCCAUGCCGCGUGUGUGAAGAAGGCCUUAUGGUUGUAAAGCACUUUAAGCGAGGAGGAGGCUACUGAAGUUAAUACCUUCAGAUAGUGGACGUUACUCGCAGAAUAAGCACCGGCUAACUCUGUGCCAGCAGCCGCGGUAAUA